rnacentral:lncRNA from 1 species
CUCGACAACAUAACUAACGAUCUAGCCUGCAACACUGUCCACCUCAUGAUAAAUAUAGUUGAUGUCCACGGAGAUGCAUCCUCCUCCCUGCCCUCUUCUUCCUAAAAAAAAAAUCCACCACCAAAUAUCACAUAUGCGCAACAUGCGAUAGCCACAUCCGUUUGCCUCUGCAUCCAGUCUACCAUUGUGAUAUAUUAUCUUUCAACAGCUA